AUGAUAGUAACAUUGUCCCUUCUCUCUUUUUCUCUCCUUUUUUUUGGGCUUCUUUGGCCUCUUUUUUAUUUGGGCUUCUUUGGCCUCUCUUUUUUUCGUCCGGAGUCUCAUCCCAACUUAUGGGGGAAUCAUGGUCUCCAUCAUCCUUUCCUCACAUGGGACAAUGCUCUAAUAAUGAUGAUCAUCACACUUUUGUUUACUCAUAACUCAAUUUACAACUCGAUACUAGAACAAAAUAUGACUCUAUGUGAAUGCCUCCGGUGGUGUACCGGGAUAUGCAAUGAAUCAAGAGCGACAUGUAUGAAAGAAUUAUGA
rnacentral:rRNA from 1 species